GCUUGCUUUUACUAGCUUGCUUGGCUUGGACGUGGGGGUUUUGCUGGCUUCCUUCAGUGGAUGGUCUGCUCCCCUUAAUGCAUUAGUGGGAUCUCUUGUGGACCGUCACUUGGUGUGAUAAUUAUCUAUGCCAACGUUGACUUGGACAAAUCUUUCAUUAAUGUGACCUCAAAUCAGGUAGGACUACCCGCUGAACUUAG
rnacentral:misc_RNA from 1 species